rnacentral:rRNA from 1 species
UACGUAGGGCGCAAGCGUUAUCCGGAAUUAUUGGGCGUAAAGAGCUCGUAGGCGGUUUGUCGCGUCUGCCGUGAAAGUCCGGGGCUCAACCCCGGAUCUGCGGUGGGUACGGGCAGACUAGAGUGAUGUAGGGGAGACUGGAAUUCCUGGUGUAGCGGUGAAAUGCGCAGAUAUCAGGAGGAACACCGAUGGCGAAGGCAGGUCUCUGGGCAUUAACUGACGCUGAGGAGCGAAAGCGUGGGGAGCGAACAGG